GCAACGAUAAGAGGAACAGGGUCUACUUGCCCACCUACCAUUGGGAAUUAGAAAGCUGAACAAAACAGGAAACUGUUCUCAGACCCUGAACAGCAGGCAGUGUGGGGGUUCCGGGGCUAGGUUCCUCGCGUGAAGGUGAGCACACACACCAACCUGACGACUCCGCUCUCUGCUUUCAGGCGGUCUUCACGGUGCAACUGCAGGCAGAGGAGCCCAUGAACAUUCUGGCAGAAUCUGGAUUGAGAACACGGGUGAGCUGGGAGGCCACCGAGGCGAUGAUCUGUGUGGCAGGGCAUCAGAAAGGAGGGAGCUACUCAGAGAAAAAGUUCCACAGCUGCUGAAUGAUCCCUUUGAGUCUAUCGACUGUCCAUCGGAGGACACGGAGCCUGCUCAUCUCCAGGUGUCCCAUUUGUCCAGGAGGGUGUGCUUCCUCAGAGUACAAGUCCCACCUACUCUCUCAUCUUCAGAAGAGAGCUCAGGCUUCAGCCAUAAAUUCAGCCUUUG
ensembl:lncRNA